rnacentral:rRNA from 1 species
CAGUAGCCGCGGUAAUACGUAGGUCCCGAGCGUUGUCCGGAUUUAUUGGGCGUAAAGCGAGCGCAGGCGGUUAGAUAAGUCUGAAGUUAAAGGCUGUGGCUUAACCAUAGUACGCUUUGGAAACUGUUUAACUUAAGUGCAAGAGGGGAGAGUGGAAUUCCAUGUGUAGCGGUGAAAUGCGUAGAUAUAUGGAGGAACACCGGUGGCGAAAGCGGCUCUCUGGCUUGUAACUGACGCUGAGGCUCGAAAGCGUGAGGAGCAAACAGGAUUAGAUACCCGCGUAGUCCCUGUCUCUUAUACA